CAGCACCUCAAGUGGUCAGGAUGAUUAUUGGGCCUAAAGCAUCCGUAGCCGGCGCUGUAAGUUUUCGGUUAAAUCUGUACGCUCAACGUACAGGCUGCCGGGAAUACUGCAGCGCUAGGGAGUGGGAGAGGUAGACGGUACUCGGUAGGAAGGGGUAAAAUCCUUUGAUCUAUUGAUGACCACCUGUGGCGAAGGCGGUCUACGAGAACACGUCCGACGGUGAGGGAUGAAAGCUGGGGGAGCAAACCGGAUUAGAGACCCGAGUAGUCC
rnacentral:rRNA from 1 species